rnacentral:rRNA from 1 species
GUGUCAGCAGCCGCGGUAAUACGUAGGGUGCAAGCAUUAAUCGGAUUUAUUGGGCGUAAAGGACGCGUAGGCGGGUUCAUAAGUCUUGUGUGAAAUUCCGGGGCUUAACCUCGGAGCUGCACAGGAAACUAUGAACCUAGAGGGUAGAAGGAGAAAACGGAAUUCCACAAGUAGCGGUGAAAUGCGUAGAUAUGUGGAAGAACACCGGUGGCGAAGGCGGUUUUCUAUUUUAUUCCUGACGCUGAGGCGUGAAAGUAAGGGGAUCAAACAGGAUUAGAUACCCUGGUAGUCCUUACCGUAAACUAUGUAUACUUGAUGUAACCGGACUCAACCCUGGUUGUGUCGAAGCUAACGCGAUAAGUAUACCGCCUGGGAAGUACGCUCGCAAGGGUGAA